rnacentral:rRNA from 1 species
UUGGAGGGCAAGUCUGGUGCCAGCAGCCGCGGUAAUUCCAGCUCCAAUAGCGUAUAUUAAAGUUGUUGCAGUUAAAAAGCUCGUAGUUGAAUUUCGGGAUUGACACAUUGGUCGUGCCCUAAGGGGUAUGAACUGGUGUAGUCAAUUUCUCACCUUCUGGAGAACCGCGCUGUCCUUAAUUGGGUGACGCGGGGAACCAGGACCUUUACUUUGAAAAAAUUAGAGUGUUUAAAGCAGGCAUUUUGCUUGAAUACAUUAGCAUGGAAUAAUAAAAUAGGACGGCAUGAUUCUAUUUUGUUGGUUUCUAGGAUCACCGUAAUGAUUAAUAGGGAUAGUUGGGGGCAUUAGUAUUCAAUUGUCAGAGGUGAAAUUCUUGGAUUUAUUGAAGACUAACUACUGCGAAAGCAUUUGCCAAGGAUGAUUUUCAUUAAUCAAGAACGAAAGUUAGGGGAUCGAAGACGAUCAGAUACCGUCAUAGUCUUAACCAUAAACUAUGCCGACUAGGAAUCAGACGAUGUUAAUUUUUUAAUGACUCGUUCGCGCCUUACGGAAAC